UUAUUUAUUUAUUUAUUUCGGUUUUUCCGUUCGUCUUUAAAUGUAAUUCGAUCUCCGUUACCACGGUAAUCAAUGUAGGUGAUGUUAGCCCUCACGAUCGUUGGUAACUUUCGUUAUCGGUUUAAGACCUGGAGAGAGAAUCUCGCGGAGGUCGCUCAUAUGUUGAAUCCUUUGGGAAGACGGAAAGGGACGGUCAGAGCCAUUGCCGACCGCUAGAGUGAGACGGGAACUCAGAUCUUUAAAGAUCCGAAGAAGCCCGAGGCAAUCUCCGGGAAACGGCGUGCCAAAAGUACGUCUGGGGCCACCUUCCCCGUUCUGAGGAAGCUAGUACUCGUUCACUUUGUCCCAGACCUUUGUGAAGUGUGGAGUGCGCGGACUUUUAUCCCGGGUUCCCCUGUCCAGUCCUGAGGUCUCGUCGAAGCUAGAAUUGUGUGCGAUAGUGUGUGCGAAGAAGUGAGCCCUAGUGCGGCCUAGCUAGAGAUCAGUUCGAAGGCUUCGCUUCCUUUCGCCCUACCAGCCGAGCAGCACCAGAAGGAGAUCGAGCGCGCGUCCACCACCGCCCCGCAUCGAGUGUGGGACAAGUUUUGACCCGGCACACGCUACAUCGCCGGAAGAGACGAGCCGUCAACAUCUCGUCUGGAGGCGGUCCAUCCGCCCACGUGCUGGCCCGGAAAGCCAAGUCCCGGCCCGCGCAACAUCAUCAAAGUCGACUACGCAACCGCAGGUCGAACCGACAGCGCCGUCCGCGAGCACGCGGUGAACAUUAGCAGCACACUCAAAAUAAUCCACACGUUGAUGCUACCUGAAAAAUCACGUAACCCCGAUUUUCCCCUCGCUAGGCUCGUUUUACGUGACACACGUAAAAAUAAUGUGAAAGUGU